UAGGGAAUCUUCGGCAAUGGGGGGAACCCUGACCGAGCAACGCCGCGUGAGUGAAGAAGGUUUUCGGAUCGUAAAGCUCGUUUGUUAAGGAAGAACGAGUGUGAGAAUGGAAAGUUCAUGCUGUGACGGUACUUAACCAGAAAGGGACGGCUAACUACGUGCCAGCAGCCGCGGUAAUACGUAGGUCCCGAGCGUUGUCCGGCUUUAUUGGGCGUAAAGCGAGCGCAGGCGGUUAGAAAAGUCUGAAGUGAAAGGCAGUGGCGCAACCAUUGUAGGCUUUGGAAGCUGUUUAACUUGAGUGCAGAAGGAGAGAGUGGAAUUCCAUGUGUGGCGGUGAAAUGCGUAGAUAUAUGGAGGAACACCGGUGGCGAAAGCGGCUCUCUCGUCUGUAACUGACGCUGAGGCUCGAAAGCGUGGGGAGCGAACAGG
rnacentral:rRNA from 1 species